GUGGGGAAUCUUAGACAAUGGGCGCAAGCCUGAUCUAGCCAUGCCGCGUGAGCGAUGAAGGCCUUAGGGUUGUAAAGCUCUUUCGUGGGGGAAGAUAAUGACUGUACCCCAAGAAGAAGCCCCGGCUAACUCCGUGCCAGCAGCCGCGGUAAUACGGAGGGGGCUAGCGUUGUUCGGAAUUACUGGGCGUAAAGCGCACGUAGGCGGACUGGAAAGUCAGGGGUGAAAUCCCGGGGCUCAACCCCGGAACUGCCUUUGAAACUCCCAGUCUUGAGUUCGAGAGAGGUGAGUGUAAUUCCGAGUGUAGAGGUGAAAUUCGUAGAUAUUCGGAGGAACACCAGUGGCGAAGGCGGCUCACUGGCUCGAUACUGACGCUGAGGUGCGAAAGCGUGGGGAGCAAACAGGAUUAGAUACCCGAGUAGUCC
rnacentral:rRNA from 1 species